rfam:Eucalyptus grandis cultivar BRASTZ1 unplaced genomic scaffold scaffold_6, whole genome shotgun sequence.
AUACCUUUCUCGGCCUUUUGGCUAAGAUCAAGUGUAGUAUCUGUUCUUAUCAGUUUAAUAUCUGAUACGUGGGCCAUCGGUCCACAUGAUAUUAAAUUAAUUUUUCUAGGGGGAGGGCCCAUCACAGUAGCUUGCUGCUGGGGUCCUCGAGCGUCGCCUUGGCGUUGCACUAUUGCCUUGGCCUGGCGCACCCCAC